rnacentral:rRNA from 1 species
UGGGGAAUAUUGCACAAUGGGCGCAAGCCUGAUGCAGCGACGCCGCGUGAGGGAUGACGGCCUUCGGGUUGUAAACCUCUGUUAGCAGGGAAGAAGAGAGAUUGACGGUACCUGCAGAGAAAGCGCCGGCUAACUACGUGCCAGCAGCCGCGGUAAUACGUAGGGCGCGAGCGUUGUCCGGAAUUAUUGGGCGUAAAGAGCUUGUAGGCGGUUUGUCGCGUCUGCUGUGAAAGGCCGGAGCUUAACUCCGUGUAUUGCAGUGGGUACGGGCAGACUAGAGUGCAGUAGGGGAGACUGGAAUUCCUGGUGUAGCGGUGGAAUGCGCAGAUAUCAGGAGGAACACCGAUGGCGAAGGCAGGUCUCUGGGCUGUAACUGACGCUGAGAAGCGAAAGCAUGGGGAGCGAACAGGAUUAGAUACCCUAGUAGUCCCUGAGCGGGCUGGCAAGGCGCAU